AUUGAACGCUGGCGGAAUGCUUUACACAUGCAAGUCGAACGGCAGCACGGGGGCAACCCUGGUGGCGAGUGGCGAACGGGUGAGUAAUACAUCGGAACGUGCCCGGUCGUGGGGGAUAACGUAGCGAAAGUUACGCUAAUACCGCAUACGAUCUGAGGAUGAAAGCGGGGGACCUUCGGGCCUCGCGCGAUCGGAGCGGCCGAUGUCAGAUUAGGUAGUUGGUGGGGUAAAGGCCUACCAAGCCGACGAUCUGUAGCUGGUCUGAGAGGACGACCAGCCACACUGGGACUGAGACACGGCCCAGACUCCUACGGGAGGCAGCAGUGGGGAAUUUUGGACAAUGGGCGUAAGCCUGAUCCAGCCAUUCCGCGUGCAGGACGAAGGCCUUCGGGUUGUAAACUGCUUUUGUAUGGAACGAAAAGGCUCUGGCUAAUACCUGGGGCUCAUGACGGUACCGUAAGAAUAAGCACCGGCUAACUACGU
rnacentral:rRNA from 1 species